rnacentral:misc_RNA from 1 species
UGCGGCUUUGUCCCCAACCCACGUGCGUGAUCGUCUCUCGUCAAGAAACAGCUUCACUGCAAGCACGCAAGAAUAAAGCAGACCGGAAAAAAAGGAGAAGAGCGGGAGACCGACGUCGCAGACAGGUGCCAUUGUUUGCGCAUACACAUACACGCACAUACUAUUUCUUCCUCUUUCUUGAGCGGUGGUCUACGCGUGUGUCUCCACGCGCCGCGAUCAUCAAAGGAAAGACAAGAAGAAAAGUAGUAGUCGGCAACUGAGGCCCAUCCACUUCUCCUUUCUUCGUCCGCCAUUCUUGAUUAGCAACUAGUCUCUCCACCUCCUUCCACAUUCGGCCUUCAUCACGUGUCUUGCAACACGCCAUUGAAGACGAUAAUAGAACCGUACCUCCUUUUCUUUUUGAUUGUGUGCCAGAGGUCAGCCAUAUACACACACGUGCACACGCACGCGAAUCUUUCGUCAUCUCUUCGUGUGUGUGUGUGUGUGUGUGUGUGUGUGCAUGCGCGUGUGCCACCCCGCCACCACCCCUCCGCCCCCUUUGAGUGCUUCUCCCGCAGCACCGCACGAUAAACUGCCUUGUCUUUGACGGAGACGUGAGGAAGUAAACGACUGUGCCAUCAUCGCUGUUGUCUGUGUGUGUGUGUGUGUGUGUGGGCGUCUGUGCUGUGUCAUUGAACAGCACUUGUGUCUGCCCUACUCCUGCCUCUCCUGCCGACCCCUGCCCCCUCCUCCUCCACGCGACGCACUUGCGUGCCUGCACACAGACAGAGACACAGAUCCAGGCGCGCGAAGGAUAGCCCUACAGAAGCACGCCGGAAGCGCCAAAGGCAUCAUCCGUAGCGAGCAGCUCGCCACCAUUCCCUCCACUGGUCGCGACGGCGACGACCUCUUCCAUCAAGACCUCGCAAAAGGGUGUUUCUUUCUUUUUCAUUUCUUUACUUUCCCUCUGUACCCCGUGUGCGGUUACCUUUUCGUCCAUCCACGGAGCGCCAGCGUGCAUGACUUUCUGCCUCUCCGUCCCCUCUGCCGUCGCUGUACCCUCCCUUGUAUAUAUCUCUUUACGGGCUACCCUUUUUGUUUUGUCUUGUUUCUUCCUUUGGGCAUCCUCACAUCAAUCGUGCGCACGUAGGCAGACGCAUCGUGCACACGCAGACACUGUCGCUGGUACUAACUGUCGUGUCUUCUCCACCCCGCCCACCCUUUUCGUUUUGGGCGUUUUACCCUGUAGCACGCCGACGGACAUCCGCCCCAUUCAUCGUUGCAUCGCCUUCUCCUGCGUCUUAUGCUCUUGUGGUGGUACAUUUCUGGUUCUGUACGUUUUUUUCCCUUGCGUUUUGCGUGUGUGAUUUUUCUGCCCUUCACCUCCGCCCGUCUGCGUGUGCGCUCGACGCUCCUUCUCGCCGUAAGAUCUGAUAAUUCAUCUUCUCUCUCUCGCUGUGGGGCGUGACUCCUCCAGCCUUCACGCACACCCCCUCCCCCUCUUUUUCCCUGUGCUCAACUGAGCUUGAGCUCAUAUUGCAUAGAUACGAAAGCAGCCGCCACCAUCGCCACAGGGUCGCACGUGCUUGUUGUUCGCCACUUUUGUGGCGACGCAGCAGAAACGCAAAAAGAAAAACGAAAAGCGAAAGAGGGAAGGCGGGAGCGCGUCCUCAGCAACAAGUAGAGGCACCGGUGGGCAGCAGCGGCACGAUAGGAAGAGCAACAAGGAGUAGCACAUCGUCCAGCGCAUCAUCAUUAAGGUCAUCUAUCCGUCUGUCCUUGUUCGCCGCGGUUGGACCGGCUUUCGGCACUCAAUUCGUCCUUGACUUCCGUCCCUUCACUCACCCCCUCCACGGUAUCCCUCCCUCGUCCAACAGCUGACGCUCUUCUGUAGGCGUGUAAAGCAGCAACCGUAAAGGAGAGAAGCGCCUGUCCUGCCUGUCUGUGUGCACGCUUUGUGGUUUUCUUCCCAGAGCUGCGUCUACGCUCGCUGUUCCCCCCCCCCCCCCACCCCUCCGCAUCUCCCCCGCCCUUAUUUCUUCUCCCUGCGUCCUUGUGCUCGCGCAUUCUUUGUUGGUUUGCCGCUUCCCUCCCCUUUUUUGCCUUGUUUUCGGGGUGGUGGUGGUGGUGGGGGGGUGGGUGUCAUCUCGUUGUUGCCGAUCUCUCGCUUUGUGAAGGUGUGCCGGCGUGUGUGCGUGUGCGUAUGCGCUUUCGUACAUCGUCGUACCCUCACGUCCUGUAGAUUUGUAUUCUGGCAUCACUGGCAGGCACACACGUACACGUGCAUCCUCGCGUAUCCAAAAGACCUCUGCCAGCAUCGUGUUACGAGGCCCGCUUUUCCUUUCUUACCCUCCCCCUCCCCCAAACGUUGGGCCGUCUUUCCGUACGCACACCAUCUUCCACUCGCGACUUCCUUCUCUGAUUCUCUUUCUCAAGCCACCCGUCGCUUGAAUUUUCGUUUUUGGCUGUGUAAGCACGUGUGUGUGUGUGUGUGCGUGCGCGUGUGUUAGCGCGUGAGCGUCGCCUUACGACAGCGCUGGUCUCUAGCGUUCUGACAAGGCCGAGACAGAGGAACGCAACGCAGCGCUGCGCGCAACGAAAAAAAGAACCGAAAAGCAGAGAGCGAGUGAGCGAGAGAGGGCCACACGGAGCCAGCAAGGCGCAGAUUGUGUUCAUCAACACGCCUUCGUCUCGGAGUCGUUUUCGUUUUUUUUUCUUCUGUGCCCGUAUACAUACACAUACACACAUAUACAUCAAUUUGCUCGUUGUGUUGUGCAUCUCUCUGGUCCCCCCCCCUUCCGCUCCUACUCCACCAUUUCGUGAUAGCGUGCUCUCUUUGUUCCGUUGCCCCUCCUCCCACGUACACGCAGACAGAGGGAGGGAAUCCGAACCGAGAGCGGACUGGUGUGUGGCGAGUUUGCGGCACCCGCCCCGCUCCACCCACACCCCACCAAAGAAAAAAAAAACAGAACGGGAAGCCAAAAACGGGGCACUGCCACGAUGUCCACUGCCGUCUUCGAACUGUUCAGUAAGCUCGCCGGGGUGGCCAGUGCCGGCCAUCAAGGGACCCCAUCUGCCCUCGAGAUGGCACCACCGCAGAUGCUCCUGCCAACAGACGAGGAGUGUGUGCUGUACGGGCAGAAGAAGCCGAUUGUGUUCUUCUACGAGCCACGGGGAGCGCAGCAGCUCGCCAGCGGCGCGGCGGAUGGUAACUCCGGACCCGGUGCCGGCGCGGCUCUCACCUCAAGCAGCCGCACAAGUUUAUUGCAAGAGUGGCCAGCAGAGUUGUCUGCAGCGCAGCUGGUGUCCCCGGGGACGACGGUGCAUGCACUCCGCGUGACGAACGCCGAAGAUGACCUCCACAAGACGCUGUCUACACAGGAGGUGUGGGCUGACUGGCCGCAGACUAUCCGCGGCUGGCAGCUCUGCCCCAUGAGUCAUCUGUGUGCUAUGGUGCGCACCAACGGUGCAGCUCCGCAUUUGUAUUUGUUGGCCUCGCGCUACGAACUGGUGGGCACCUCCGCUGUGUACGAGCGAUAUCUGCUGCUGACGCCGCCGUCGAAAGACAGCGGUCGUGGCGCAGCAUCUAAUGUUUUGGCGCGUGCGACGACGGCAGCGGACUCGGCGUCUAUCAGUGUCACCGAGUUGCGCACCCUGCGGCGUAUCGCCUGCCUCUGCCGAUGUUUCUGCAGUAGCGGUGCGGAGGCGCAGCCACGCACAGCGCGGUCGCGCGGUGUCGGCAGCGAUACGCUCGUGCCGCCGCCACCGCUGGCGGACUACGUUCUCCACUUGGUGCCGACUUCCCUUCAGUACACCUUCUGCUUCGCCGCGACGGCACUGCUGGGCGCGGCAGACGAGGAACGCUGCCAGUCGUGGGCCAUGACAGCGACGGCGUUGAGUCGACUAAAGUUCAGUUCACGUUACCAGUCUUGCUCGACGACCGAGGCAGCCAACACCUCCGGCGCACUCUCCGAUGGCGGGCACACGACAUACUUGGAGUCCGCGACGCAAUCGCGUGACCGCAGCACCUCUGCGGUGCGCGUGGUGGAGGGUGGCGGCGGCGGCAUGACGAGCGCCUCUGGCGCUGGCCUCAGUGAGGACCCCCGGUCAGCGCCGUCGACGCCGGCGCGGCCGCUGCUCGCGAUGGGCCGCAUGGAUGGGCAGCGUGGUGGCUCGCUCUCUGCAGCGCGUCACCACGAAGACAUGCACCAAAAUGGCGAAAGCAUACUGGAGGAGCGCCUUCCGCCAUCGCAGCGGUGGCGAGCCAUGGCGCUCCGUCGACUUCUCGACACGUCCUUCUACAAUGAGCAGGUGCCCUCCGGGUGGCGGCGCUGGCGCUACGCGUCGAGUGGCAUUCUGUGCCGCCCCCUCGUGGUCGACUCUCUUGACGGCAUCGUCCGCUACAUCCACGGCAGUCGUCUCGCCUUCUACACGGCAGUCGCAUUUCUCGAUCGGUUCAUCGCCGUCACGGUGGAUCCCCUCGCCAACUUCUUUGCCUACAAACGCCAGCUCCAGCGGGGUCGCUCGCGGCAGGAGAUGGACUGCCGAAUGCUGGCGAUGUACGGCACGAGGCCCACCGGCCCGCCCAUCGCCGCCGAGCUCCCUGCAGAGCAGCUGUACGACAGCGGUCUCGACGGUGGCGUGCAGGCGCGCGAAAUCUGCAGCUUUCUGACGCAGGUCAUCGUGGUGUGCAUCAUGCUCGGUAGCAAGACGGUCGAUCUCUACCCCCCGCGCAUUCGCAGCUUGAUGGGCUGCGUCGAGGACACGGCCCCCAUCAGCGAGGAGGACUUCGUGAUCCUCGAGUUCCACGUUCUGCUCACGCUUGGCUUUCCUGUUCACCCGGUCACUCUCUUCGAGGCUGUCGGCGCACUGCUCGCCUUCUCGACCAGUGAUGCCCUGUACGGCACUCUCACAGCGUCCCACACGACGCGACGGCUGCUGGAGGAGCACCAAGACCGCGGCCACCUCGUCGACGACGUUGACCGGCUCAUGCAAGAAGAGGCCGAGGAGGAAGAGGCAGCAGCGGUGGCAGGAAGCGCGCAGCCGCACCCGGCCUUACGCGCCGCCGCGCUGACGCCGGCAGACCGGCGCGCCAUCAAUGACUGGCUGCGGUUGCGCCUCUUUACGUGUUUCAUCUGCGACGAGGUCAUUCGCGCCAACGCUGGUGGCUCUGCCGCAUCGUCGUCCGCGUCUGCCUCGUCAGCUAGCGACAGCACCCCGCGCCACGGCGGCGGCGUCAACAGCAGGAUGGCCGCCGAAGAAGAAAGCAAGUUGCCGGACGGAGGCUUCAGCGUUCUCCAGCUCUCGCCCGUGCUCGUGGCCGCCGCGGCGCUCGUGAUAGCAGCCGAGCAGCUGCGCAUGCCGCUUCCUGCACCGAUGAUGCGCCUUGUGCCAGUCCCUAUGCAAGCACUGCUGCGCGAAGCCCCGGUCGACGGCAGCAGCGACGUUGGUCGUAGCAAUGGUGGUAGCAGUUCUGGGCGUGUCAUGGCCGCGUUGCACCGAAGAGGCCAGAACACGAGCACGUGUGACGUGGCGAUAGAGGAGUCGAACGUGCUGGGACGUGGCGCCGGCGCUGAUGCAAGACACAACGAGGCGUCGACCGGGUUGCGCCUCACGGCGGGCGCCACGGAUGACCACUACAAGGUAUUGAUGGAGCUUUCACUACUUCUGGAGCAAGAGCUGAGUCGACUCUCUGACGACAGCGGUCUGCAGGGGCCGCCGCCUCUGGCGAGUGUGCCGGCCGCUGGUGCCACGCCCACUUCGACAAAUCUGGAAGUAGAAGAAGAGCAGAUCGGCGCUGGCAGCUGCGGCGCGGCAGCAGUGGCCGGGCCAUCGCUGUGUCCCACCCAUCCCUACACGGGUGAGCUGUCACGUGGAGGGGCAGCUCGACAAGGAGCGCCUUUAACCUCUGCUGCGUCGCCACGUGUGCGUCCGGCGAGCGCGCGCGCGAUUGACAUGUUCGGUCGCAUCAUUGCUCAGGCGAAGGCGAUACACCACAGGAGCCGCGAGAGCUGCCCGCCGGUGCUGCUGCAUCGCUAUCAGCCUCUCUUCCGGGAUUGCGUGUAAUGCAUGAAUGCACUUGACCCCUCCCCGCUUUUUUGACAGGUGGCCGCGCCAAUGUCACGCCCCGUCCUGCAUCAGUGUUGUAUGUGCACAUCUGUCGUGACGUGCAUCUAGUGUGUUGCCGCAUUUCUCUUUUAAUUGUACGCACUUCUUUCCAAGGCGUUUAUAGUUUUUGUUUUUUUUUCUGUUUCUUGUGAGGUAACGUGCGGUACCUGCACGCGGCUGUCUGUGUCUGUAUGCGUGAGCGGCGUAUCCCAGACACCUCCUUGAUAGACGGUAUCCUCCUCCCCCUUGUUUUUCCUUGGUCGCGCGCCUGUUCCUCUGAGAUAGAGCAUCAGCCCGGUCCUCACUCCACUACGCCGGUCACAGGGUCCCCAUCACGCGGGGCGAGGCAGUUUUAGGCACACUCUGUUACAGCAAUGCAGCGCUCUGACCUGCCCUGCGUCGUAGGUGCAUGACUCUGUCACCACCAGAAGUGGUUCAGCAUUAGCAGGGGAUAGAGGGGCUCUGCCCGGGCUUCCUGCAGAGUGAGUACUAGACACCGCUACGACAUGCUGAGGUGUUCCCCGGCGAUCAGGGCCGAAGGCGGCAUAAAAGGAAGCCUAAAAAAUAUAUAUGCAUGUGCGCUGCGUUGCAACAGGGUGACACACGCACAGAGAGGGGGUCUCUCUGUCUUUUCAUGCGUGUGGCGCUGUCUUGUAUAUACCAUAGAAGGCUUGCUCUUGUAUUGGCGUGAAUCGAAGUGGUUUCUGUUUGUGUGUGUGACGCCUCUUCCUCCCCCCUCAUCCUUCCACUUCGUCCGUUGUGCGUUGCCUACCUGUUUUUUUUGUGUGUGUGUGCUGUUGUGCUGUGUGCGUAGGUGUCCGUGCACGCACGCCCGGCUCUCUCUGUAUUUUGCCCUUAAUCUUGUGCGCUGGCGGUUGUUGCCCUUGUGUUCGUCGUUGUGUUUUGGUUGCUCAUAUAUAUAUAUAUAUUCCAGAGGGGACGGAUCUGUGGAUUAUGCGCGCAACGUGGGGCGUCCGCACAAGUGUGCUCUGUAAAGGGGAGGACUUCUCCCCCUUUCUCGCAUCUGCGUGCGUGCGAGGGAUGAAGGAGGAGCAGGAACACCGUCAAAAAAAAGCAGAACGAAACGUUGUCACCCUUCCCUCCGAAUUCGCGCGCAUACCUGCGUGUGUGUGUGUGUGUGCGCGCGUGCGCCUCUUUUUUCCUUUUUGCGUUCUCUAGCCGCCGUCUGUGCUCGACGGACAGCUGUGCCUUCAAGGCCAGGCAGGCGACAGGGCCGACAAUCUCCCGCUCCCCCCGCUUCGGCAUGUCCCGGCGUGGCGGCAUGGGAAGUACCGGGGAAGUCUGCAGAGCUGUCGUAUCCAGAAAAUUCACGCAUCACCCUCUCUUCUCCCUCCCUUGCGCUCUCUCUUUUCUCUGUCUGCGUGCCUUUGCAUGCACGCAUUCGUUUUUGUAUCUUCUC